rnacentral:rRNA from 1 species
UGGCGGACGGGUGAGUAACGCGUGGGUAACCUGCCUUGUACUGGGGGACAACGGUUAGAAAUGACUGCUAAUACCGCAUAAGCGCACAGUAUCGCAUGAUACAGUGUGAAAAACUCCGGUGGUACAAGAUGGACCCGCGUCUGAUUAGCUAGUUGGUAAGGUAACGGCUUACCAAGGCGACGAUCAGUAGCCGACCUGAGAGGGUGACCGGCCACAUUGGGACUGAGACACGGCCCAA